rnacentral:rRNA from 1 species
UCAGCCACACUGGGGCUGAGACACGGCCCAGACUCNUACGGGAGGCAGCAGUGGGGAAUAUUGGACAAUGGGCGAAAGCCUGAUCCAGCAAUACCGCGUGUGUGAAGAAGGCCUUAGGGUUGUAAAGCACUUUCAAUGGGGAGGAAAACCUGCCGGUCAAUACCCGGUAGCUUGACAUUACCUUUAGAAGAAGCACCGGCUAACUCCGUGCCAGCAGCCGCGGUAAUACGGAGGGUGCGAGCGUUAAUCGGAAUUACUGGGCGUAAAGCGUGCGUAGGUGGUUCGUUAAGUCAGAUGUGAAAGCCCUGGGCUCAACCUGGGAACUGCAUUUGAAACUGGCGGACUAGAGUUUAGUAGAGGGGAGUGGAAUUUCAGGUGUAGCGGUGAAAUGCGUAGAUAUCUGAAGGAACACCAGUGGCGAAGGCGACUCCCUGGACUAAAACUGACGCUGAGGUACGAAAGCGUGGGUAGCAAACAGGAUUAGAUACCCUGGUAGUCCACGCCGUAAACGAUGUCGACUAGCCGUUGGUCCUAUUUACAGGAUUAGUGGCGCAGCUAACGCAUUAAGUCGACCGCCUGGGGAGUACGGCCGCAAGGUUAAAACUCAAAUGAAUUGACGG